rnacentral:rRNA from 1 species
UACGUAGGAGGCAAGCGUUGUCCGGAAUUACUGGGCGUAAAGCGUGCGCAGGCGGUUGUGUAAGUCAGAUGUGAAAUCCCCGGGCUCAACCUGGGAAUUGCAUUUGAGACCGCAUGGCUAGAGUGUGUCAGAGGGGGGUAGAAUUCCACGUGUAGCAGUGAAAUGCGUAGAUAUGUGGAGGAAUACCGAUGGCGAAGGCAGCCCCCUGGGAUAACACUGGCGCUCAUGCACGAAAGCGUGGGGAGCAAACAGG